UGUCGGAAUAGUUUAGUCGGUUAGAACAGCGGGAUCAUAAUUCGCACACGGGGGUUCAAAUCCCUCUUCCGAUAG
rnacentral:tRNA from 1 species